UCUACGGGGGGCUGCAGUGGGGAAUAUUGGACAAUGGGCGAAAGCCUGAUCCAGCCAUGCCGCGUGUGUGAAGAAGGCCUUCGGGUUGUAAAGCACUUUCAGUGGGGAAGAAAGCCUUGGGGCUAAUACCCUCGAGGAAGGACAUCACCCACAGAAGAAGCACCGGCUAACUCCGUGCCAGCAGCCGCGGUAAUACGGAGGGUGCGAGCGUUAAUCGGAAUUACUGGGCGUAAAGCGCGCGUAGGCGGUCUGAUAAGCCGGUUGUGCAAGCCCCGGGCUCAACCUGGGAACGGCAUCCGGAACUGUCAGGCUAGAGUGCAGGAGAGGAAGGUAGAAUUCCCGGUGUAGCGGUGACAUGCGUAGAGAUCGGGAGGAAUACCAGUGGCGAAGGCGGCCUUCUGGACUGACACUGACGCUGAGGUGCGAAAGCGUGGGUAGCAAACAGGAUUAGAUACCCGGGUAGUC
rnacentral:rRNA from 1 species